GACGUAGGGGGCCAGCGUUGUUCGGAAUUACUGGGUGUAAAGGGUUCGUAGGCGGUGUGGCAAGUUGGGAGUGAAAUCUCUGGGCUCAACCCAGAGGCUGCUUCCAAAACUGCUGUGCUUGAGUGUGGGAGAGGCGCGUGGAAUUGCAGGUGUAGCGGUGAAAUGCGUAGAUAUCAGGAGGAACACCGGUGGUGUAGACGGCUUUCUGGACCGUAACUGACGCUGAGACACGAAAGCGUGGGUAGCAAACAGG
rnacentral:rRNA from 1 species